GGAGAGAUGGCUGAGUGGUCGAAGGCGGCUGAUUGCUAAUCUGUUGUAUGGGCUUUUCCGUACCGAGGGUUCGAAUCCCUUUCUCUCCG
rnacentral:tRNA from 1 species